rnacentral:sRNA from 1 species
AUGGUUAGUGAUGUUUUUAUUUUAAUUUUAGGUUUUCCCCCUUACCUGUUCUCUUAAUUUGGAGUAAAUUUGUGGUUUAAAAAAAAUAAUAAAAAAAAAUUUUAAAAAAAAAAAAAACCAAAAGAGCCUUACAUUAUUAUUGUUCAUUGAGAGCGUCAAUAAGGGAUAGAGAGAGUCAAAGAGGGAGAGAAAAAUCUGAGAGACUUUAUAAUCAAACCAGAACUUUUCCAAAAACAUUACCGGUAAGUUUUUAAUUUUGUUCUAUUGUUUUUGGCUGUUAAGUAUGAUUUAGGGUUACAAUUGGGAGUGUUUCUUUUGAAUGAUUAGAUUAGAUUGAUGAGUUUGGAGCCGGUAGUGGAAUUUGCUAAUUUCAAUUAUUGGCCACAUUGCUUUCUCUUUCAUAUUUUGUGAUUUUUCACAAGGUCAUAUGUCUCAAUUAUAUAUGCCCAUGCUGCAGUUUCAAAAUCUUUAAGGCAAAGCUCAAAUAAUGUCACAAUAACAAUUGAUUUAGAUAUGUGCAUCAAAUAAGUUGGCAAAAUUUACCCUUUUACUUUUUUAUGUACAAUCAUUAUUUGCUUUAAGUAAAGAAACAAUCAUUAUUUGCUUUAAGUAAAGAAACAAUAGAGCUAUUAUUUAAAAAUAAUUAUAUGUGAUUGUAUGGCUUUUUGCAAUAACUAAGUAUGUUGCAAAACAACAGCAGUACACUCACUGCAUUAAGAAAUGGUAUGUUAAGGAAAUUUUAGUUUUGUUCUAACAAUUCCAUAGUAUUCUCUUACAAGCUUUAUUCUGUUACAUGAUGCAUCUUCUUUCUCCAUGUGUUUAAAUUGCAUUCCAACAUUUUCAUCAGGCAAGAGUAUCCUGUGAGGUGUAUGUAAAUACGAACAACCAGACAAUUGUCCACCAAGAUUGCUACCCUGAGGUGAGCUUUUACUUAUAUAAAAUUGUUGUUUUAGUUGCACACAUAAGGAAACUUUUCUGUCAUAUCAAAACUUUUCCAAUUUGACUUUGAAAAUAUAUAACAAACUCUUGGAGAAAAAACACCGUUGUUUGAUCUUUUAAGAAAAUAUAGAUUCUAAUUUAAAAAUAUAUAGAUUUUAAUUUAAAAGCAGUUUGCACAUUCCAGUCAUUUUAAAAGGGUGUUGGUGAUUUGCUUUAAAUAAUUGGGAUUGUUGUUCUAAUUGAAGGGGUUGCUGAUAUUUUCUAGAAGUAUGAAAGGCUUGGUUUAGAAUAGACAAAAAGUAGAUAACUCCAUUCAAUUAUAAUCCUACUUUCGUGGAGGAAAUGAGGACAUGAACAUAAACAUCUCAUGUUUGGUUGGUAAGGCUAUUUUCUUGCAACAUAGACAGUUUUAUAUAUAAUGUUCCUUUUCCGCAUUGAUAUAUAUAUAUAUAUAUAUAUUUGAAAGACUUUUCCACUUUGAAUUUCACUUUUAGUCACACUGUUAAUAAAGGGAUAACUGCCUUACUAAUAAUUUUUUUUUUUUUUUUUUUUUUGAAAGACUUUUCCACUUUGAAUUUCACUUUUAGUCACACUGUUAAUAAAGGGAUAACUGCCUUACUAAUAAUUUUUUUUUUUUGGCUUUAAUUUCACGGAAACCUUUUUAAUUAUUUUAUUCCUCAUACUCUGGUAAAUUGCUUAUAUGAUUGAUGAAAAUGUUAUGAAUUAAACUCAAUAGAGCUUUGUUUUAGACUUCUAGUUACUUUGGGUGUGGUGGUAUUAAUAUUGUUGAUGAAAAAAAGAACUUGAAAUGGUGACUCUUCUAAUUGCAGAAUAAGGAUGAAUUGAGUCUAUGCAGACACAGUAAUGCUUUGCAAUGUUAAGGCUAGAUUGCAUGAAAUAGGGAUUGAGUCUAUUGAUGGAACUAGAGAAGUAGAGAGAAGUAGAAGAAUGCACUAUUAUAAUUGUCAGCACUCUCUAAUGUUCACAGCCACUAUUAUAUAAGCAUAUAAAUCUUUUUGAUGCCAAAAUUUAAUGGUUGUUCAUGCUUAGCAAUUCUACUAUUGAUGUAAGUAGUGAAGAUCAAAACCUUAUAGAAACGAAGUAAUUUUGAGACACACAUAAUUAAAUGAUAUAAUAGUUCUCAACUCUCUCUAUUUCUUUGAGCAUUUAGAUUAAUGAAAAUUCUGUAUCUUUGUUGUGUAUUGAGGUAGCACCCUGAAAGGUUAAUUAGCAAAUACAAGAUUCUCUUUCUAAGAAACAUAUUUCUCCAACAUAGUUAGCCUAAUUUGUUUAUUGAUUAAUUUAAACCCUUUUCUUUUUUCCUUUUUUUUUUCCUGUUUAUUUAUUAUAGAUUUUAUGCAAAGAUGAUCCAUACUGCAUUGAUUUAGUAUCAGUUACCUAAAAUUGUCAGAUUUACAAGAACUAUGAUUGCAUAUUAAAAGUUUGUUGCUUCGAACUAUUUGAUCAUUUUUGGCAAAAGCACUUUAGCCAUCAAAUGCCCUUGCGAUUCAAAAUGCUUUAAAACAAUUGGACUCUAGAUGAUAUAGAGGCAUUUACCCCACUUGGUAAAUAUCAUUGGAUACAAGUUUCUGUAUUGGUUAACAGCUUUAGGAUGUUCACUGUAAUUAAAAAAUUUAAAAAAAAAAAAAAAAAAUUUGUGUAACAGGUCACCAUCCUUGCACUGUACCAUUGGGACCCAAAUAUUGGAAAGAUGCUUCUUAUGGAGUCUAUCUUUAAUGCCUCAAUCCAGCCUUAACAAUUGCUGGUUUUCUUGCACAUAGUGACCCAUUUGUGCUUCCAGUAAUUGGAAAGAGGAAGAUGAUGAAGAAGAUCCUUUACUAGUGAUUCUUGCAAGUUGAUUAUUAAGCUAAUCCAUACUGAUCCUUUUUAUGGAAUUUGCAGAUUUUUUUAAUGAUUAAUGUUAAUUCUAUUACUGAUUUUAAACUUGUGCACACAUUCUUUAUGCAGUGACCACAAAGCACUUCUUAAACUUUAUUAGGAUGAAAAUAUGAAAAGCAUAAUGGAAAGGAAAGAGCAUUCUGCUAGGAAAUUUUUUUAAUUAUACCCAAUUAACUUGCAGAAGAUGAAGGAUAUGAGAAUGCAAUUUGUAGAUCUAUUAUCAAGCACUGAAUCUGUAGAUUUUCUAUUUUUCUAUUUUCAAGUGUAAGUAUUCCUUCCCCUUUCUCAGUAUUUUUUUUUUUUUCCUUUCAUUUUUUAUAACACUUUAUAACACCAUUUUAUUCAAAAGAAAUCUAAUUGAGUUUGUGGCUAGUGCUACUUUUCUUCUUUAUUUCCUUUUUAAUUUAACCAUUGAUAAUUGUAUAAUAUAUUUAUCCAAAGUAGGAUUUACUCUUUCAUCAACCAUAGAUUGUUUUAUUAUAAAAGUGAAAAUGACCCAUUUGUUAUGCAAACAAAUGUGCAGGAUAACAUAGAUUAUAUUGGUAGUGAAUAGUAGAUUUAAUUGCAAUUAAGCAUUGCAUGAAGACAUUACCAUAGCAUUUUUUUUUUUAAGCCAAGUUAUAGUAGCAAAAUAAAAUUUUUUAUUUUUUAUUUAACUAUCCCGUGCAUCGCACAGGUUAGCAACUAGUAUUUCAUGAAAAUGGAUCAAAACUUUUCUAAAAUUAUUUAUUAACGAAUAUUUUAUAUAUAUAUGUGUGUGUGUGUGUCUCAACACCAUUUAUAUGUCACCAUCAUAGGCCAGGGCAUUAGUGCAUGAAUUUAUACAUCCUAUACAUCACAAUCAAAACGAAACGGAAAUCUAACAGUUCAUAAGAGUAGUUAGUUUUAAGAAACAUUGAUAUGUGCUGCAUUAACCAAGUUUUCAAUUCAAUUUUGUGAAACAGUACUAAGCCAAAUCACUUCCAUUUACAAAAUCUUGUCAAUGUGCGUCUGUUACAGUUCCAUGCAGAAUCAGCAUAACUCCAUUAUAAGCAAAAAGACAAUCACAGAAAGUUCUUACCAUUAUAGUUCAAGUCGGAAGAGGUUUGGUGAAUGAGUUUUGGACUCUUGAAGUGAAGAAGAAAGUCAUCGCCACUGCAAGGAUCCAAAACAAGAAACAAAGAAGCACUACUUGUGUUUUCAAGAAGAGGAAUUCAGCAAAGCGGUCUCUCUUUUCCGGCUGAGCGUAGAACUCAUCUAAAAUGAUACUCAAUAGCUCAUCCCGAAGCUUCUUGGAUCGAGCAUCUCUAUCAGUUGAGUGAGAUCGAGUUCUUUUGAGAAAAUAUUUUACAAAUUCCACAUCCUGAUCCACAGAUCUGAUCUUCAAACUAUCUGGUUUGCCUGAUCCGAUCUUCGGAGAUGGAGUAAGAUCGAAAAGAGGCAGGGAUUCUGAUGAAGCUGAAACAGCCGGACUCAGACACCAUUGCGAAGCUCUAGAAAAUGAAGCACAGGAUUCAAAUCUACAUUAUAGCGAAUGGGAAACUGGAUAUAAAUCUUACUCCUGUGGCUUCAUCAGUGUGAUUAGACUCAGAGAUCUCAGAAAUUGGAAAUAA